GAUGAACGCUGGCGGCGUGCCUAAUACAUGCAAGUCGAGCGAACAGACGAGGAGCUUGCUCCUCUGACGCUAGCGGCGGACGGGUGAGUAACACGUGGAUAACCUACCUAUAAGACUGGGAUAACUUCGGGAAACCGGAGCUAAUACCGGAUAAUAUAUUUAACCGCAUGGUUCAAUAGUGAAAGACGGUUUUGCUGUCCCUUAUAGAUGGAUCCGCGCCGCAUUAGCUAGUUGGUAAGGUAACGGCUUACCAAGGCAACGAUGCGUAGCCGACCUGAGAGGGUGAUCGGCCACACUGGAACUGAGACACGGUCCAGACUCCUACGGGAGGCAGCAGUAGGGAAUCUUCCGCAAUGGGCGAAAGCCUGACGGAGCAACGCCGCGUGAGUGAUGAAGGUCUUCGGAUCGUAAAACUCUGUUAUUAGGGAAGAACAAAUGUGUAAGUAACUAUGCACGUCUUGACGGUACCUAAUCAGAAAGCCACGGCUAACUACGUG
rnacentral:rRNA from 1 species